GGAGGAGAAGGGGACAACAGAGGAUGAGAUGGCUGGAUGACAUCACUGACUCGAUGGACGUGAGUCUGAGUGAACUCCGGGAGUUGGUGAUGGACAGGGAGGCCUGGCGUGCUGGGAUUCAUGGGGUCACAAAGAAUCGGACACGACUGAGCGACUGAACUGAACUGAGCCUGAUUAAACUAACCUAGGUAGAAUGGAUGUGCAACCUUAGAAACAGAGCAUCUCUGUCUCCUUCUCAGGGUGAAAAAGGAAAAUCUGGUUAUCCUGCAGGAUCCGGUACUCAAUGCCAUUGCUGAAAAGCACCGACGAACUCCAGCCCAGGUUUUUGAAUUCCAGUUGACCCCAGAGGAUAUGGAGCAUCUGGAUGGCCUAAAUAGAAACAUACGCUAUUUUGACUAUGGCGAGUUUGCUCAUCAUCCAGAUUACCCAUUUCACGAGGAAUAUUAACAACUGUGUCUGUGGUUGCUCCAGAGUUCUUGCAUUCGGGUUGAUGAUCGAACCACAUCUCGAGGUGCCUGCUUUAUUAGACAUCACUUAGCCUGACCAGUUAUGAUACUAGAGUAGGAAAUAAAAAUCCCUAAACCCAGUCUUUUCCCCA
rnacentral:lncRNA from 1 species